rnacentral:tRNA from 1 species
CCAUCGGUGGUUCAGUGGUAGAAUGCUCGCCACCCACGCGGGCGGCCCGGGUUCGAUUCCCGGCCGAUGCA